UUUGUAACUUGUGGGCGAUAUGUAAACCGAUUAUUUUGUUUAUUCACGACCUUUUGAUGUAAAUAGGUCCUACGUUCAAACCCUAAAUCCAUCUAUCUAUACAGAGUCAAUGCCUAAACCACAUUGAGUUGUAGUUAAUAAAGAAAAUGGCACGUUUUGGAAGGUUAAUACAUUCUAUAGAAAUUGGAAACUUUUUAUCCACAAGAAAUUACCUGCUAAGUUGUAACCGGAAUUUGUCAAAAAAUGUAUUAAAAUGUUCGCAAGAAGACACAAUUCCAAUAAAACCAAAGAAACCUGAAAGUCCAUUCCUUUUAUACAUUCGAAGUAUUAAGCCAAAGUUUAUGGGAAAAGAUGAUACUGUGCCAUAUAAGGAAUUCCUACCAGUGGCAGCCAAAGAAUGGGCAAAUUUGAAUCCUAAUGAGAAAGAAUUCUUCAAAAGACAAUAUAAAACAAACUAUGAAAUAUAUGUUCAAGAAUUAAAGGAAUAUGAGCAUUCCUUAACUACAGAGCAAAAACAGUUAUUAGUAAAUCAGAAAAUCAAAGAAAAGAAUCACAAAACCAAAUUAGAGAAUAAACAGAAACAAGAAACUUUUGGAAAACCAAAACGACCACUAAAUGCAUUUAUGUUGUAUAUAGCAUCGAGGAAACAUGAAAAAACUUCAGACAUAACUUAUACGCAAUGGGUGAGUUUAUUGACAAAACAUUGGCAUAACAUGACGGAUGUAGAAAAGGAAAGCUAUUUUAUAGAGGCAAAACAGUUGAAAACAAAGCAUAUUGAAGACCUACAAAAUUGGGAAUCGGAUAUGCUGGAUUUGGGUCAUACAGACAUUGUAAGACGCAAAACUCUAGGCACAAAUGCAUUGAAAAAAAAACAAAAAUAAGACCUGAAUUGUCUUGCAUUUACUUCCUUUUUCUAUAAUAGAUUUAAAGUAAUUUAAAUAAACCUAAUACCCAAUAAUGUUAUAACACAUCUUUCCAUAAAUUACUCUGGGUUUUAAAAUAAAUUCUUAAUUAAGAAAGUCGAUUAUUAGAAUAUCGUUUACUGCCGAUCAGCAACUAUAUUUUGAAAAGAAAUAAUUUACAAUCCCAUACUUAUAAAAAAAAA